rnacentral:rRNA from 1 species
GAUGAACGCUGGCGGCGUGCCUAAUACAUGCAAGUCGAGCGAACAGACGAUGAGCUUGCUCCUCUGACGUUAGCGGCUGACGGGUGAGUAACACGUGGAUAACCUACCUAUAAGACUGGGAUAACUUCGGGAAACCGGUGCUAAUACCGGAUAAUAUAUUGAACCGCAUGGUUCAAUAGUGAAAGACGGUUUUGCUGUCACUUAUAGAUGGAUCCGCGCCGCAUUAGCUAGUUGGUAAGGUAACGGCUUACCAAGGCGACGAUGCGUAGCCGACCUGAGAGGGUGAUCAGCCACACUGGAACUGAGACACGGUCCAGACUCCUACGGGAGGCAGCAGUAGGGAAUCUUCCGCAAUGGGCGAAAGCCUGACGGAGCAACGCCGCGUGAGUGAUGAAGGUCUUCGGAUCGUAAAACUCUGUUAUUAGGGAAGAACAAAUGUGUAAGUAACUAUGCACGUCUUGACGGUACCUAAUCAGAAAGCCACGGCUAACUACGUG